rnacentral:rRNA from 1 species
UGGGGAAUAUUGCACAAUGGGCGAAAGCCUGAUGCAGCGACGCCGCGUGAGCGAAGAAGUAUUUCGGUAUGUAAAGCUCUAUCAGCAGGGAAGAAAAUGACGGUACCUGACUAAGAAGCCCGGCUAACUACGUGCC